CAAAGGCAUAGAUAUGGCAAAAGCUUAAUAUAGGUGAUCAUCCUGCUCUCAGGCGACCAGUAGAUGAGCAUCCAGUUAUGCACAAUUCUAAGUCAGCAGCCCACUCGCUCUCUUCUACAUGGCCUUUGGUAUAUAAAGACCGAACCCCCAUCCUCCCAAAAAAAGACAUCACAAGAGACAGCUUCUAUAAGAAAGAGCGCCAAUCCAACAGAUGAUAUUCUCACCAGAGGAAUGAUUACACACAAUAGGCACUCAAUAAAAAAGGGCCAGGGAAUCAAUGUUAUCUUCUGAUCCAUGUCUUAGUCUGUUUUCUCCUUUUUAUGAACCAAGAGAUGGACCAUCAUCAAAGCUGGCUGAUUUCAACUGACCAUGUGGGCCAAAGUCACUUUCCAUCAGAAACUGUGCCCAAAGGGGGCUGGAGUAGAGCAGGGACUCAAACACCUUUGUUCUAUUUCCCUUCCCCAGGCUCCUCCCACAGGCAGGAUCACGCUGACAUUUCCUGCUCCAUGAAAAGGACUGAACAGGAUCUCACUGAAGAAAACAUCUUUAAGAGUCCUUCUGUGGAGCUGGAAGGCUGUAUUCAUGGCAGAGAUCACUGGCACCCUGUUGCAAUGAAAGUAUCUGACUGUUUACUGCAGCACUGACUCGAGGUUAAGCGAGCAGUGGACCAUUAAAACUCAGGAGAAUGCAAUACAUCUCUAAUUUCUGCCUUCAGCAAGAAAUUGCUUUGAUAUAGACUUUAUGAUAGCAGGGGAGGUGCCUGAGGAUGCCAGCACAGACACGAUGCCAGAACCAACCUGCAGUUCCCUUGACUUAGGACUGACAGCACGUGAAAUUAGCUUUACUUAAGGAAAAAGAGCAGAUGGAUUCUUUACCUCUGAGCCACCAGCGAAGCCCCAUCUUUUGUGGGCUAGCCUGACGUAAUAGAAAAAGACCUGGAGUCCAAUACAGCUGGUCUCAGUUCCCAGCUGUGUCACCUUGGGAAUGAUCUCUGUUACUUCUGUCAAAUGGGAUUGUUGUGAGAAGAGAAGAUCAUUGGUUCUAAUUCCGCCAGUCCAGAGCGGGGUACUUCGGCCCAGAACUCCUCCUGAGAAAGGCUGACACCUCAGCCUGGUGGGCCGUGUGCAAAAGCAGCUGCAUGAGGCACCGCGCGGGACUCAAGAUGGCGGCGGCAGGCCGAGCGCAGAGCCCGCCCCAGGCGGCGGGCGCCGAUCCCUCGGGAGCCCGCCCUCCCCGCCGAGAGGACCUUAGAAGGCGGCCCCGCCCUCCACCUGGGUGCGUGUGCUUUAGGGUAGCCAUCUGCAAGCCUUUUUGGCACCAGGGACCCGUUUCA